rnacentral:tRNA from 1 species
GCCCUAGUAGCUUAGCCCCUAAAGCGCCGGUUUUGUAAUCCGGAGAUCGAAGGUUAAAAUCCUUCCUAGUGCC